rnacentral:tRNA from 1 species
GCCUUCGUGGCGUAACGGUAGCACACUCGACUCGUAUUCGAAAGGUCCAGGUUUGAGUCCCGGUGAGGGUA